rnacentral:rRNA from 1 species
UACGUAGGGUGCAAGCGUUAAUCGGAAUUACUGGGCGUAAAGCGUGCGCAGGCGGUUGUGCAAGACAGAUGUGAAAUCCCCGGGCUUAACCUGGGAACUGCAUUUGUGACUGCAUAGCUAGGAGUCUGUCAGAGGGGGGGUGGAAUUCCACGUGUAGCAGUGAAAUGCGUAGAGAUGUGGAGGAACACCGAUGGCGAAGGCAGCCCCCCUGGGAUAAGACUGACGCUCAUGUACGAAAGCGUGGGGAGCAAACAGG